GCGCACUUAGUUCAAAUGGUAAGAGAAUCACUCUUGAAAGUUGAGGUUGUGGGUUCAAUUCCCACAUUGCACA
rnacentral:tRNA from 1 species